GACGAACGCUGGCGGCGUGCUUAACACAUGCAAGUCGAACGGAAAGGCCCUGCUUUUGUGGGGUGCUCGAGUGGCGAACGGGUGAGUAACACGUGAGUAACCUGCCCUUGACUUUGGGAUAACUUCAGGAAACUGGGGCUAAUACCGGAUAGGAGCUCCUGCUGCAUGGUGGGGGUUGGAAAGGUUCGGCGGUUGGGGAUGGACGCGCGGCUUAUCAGCUUGUUGGUGGGGUAGUGGCUUACGAAGGCUUUGACGGGUAGGCGGUCUGAGAGGGUGGCCGGUCACACGGGGCCUGGGACCACGUCGGGACUGCUACGGGGCGCAGCACCCGGGGGGAGGGCGAAGUGGGCGCUAGCCCGAUGGGGCGCCGGCGCGGGCGCGACGGCGCCCUUCGGGGUGUGACGCUCUUUGGCUAGUGAACCAGGCCCGCCUGGUGUGUGGGUGGGUUGACGGUAGCUGGAAAAGAAGCGCCGGCUAACUACGUG
rnacentral:rRNA from 1 species